GAGUUUGAUUCUGGCUCAGAUUGAACGCUGGCGGCAUGCUUUACACAUGCAAGUCGAACGGCAGCACAGGGAGCUUGCUCCUGGGUGGCGAGUGGCGAACGGGUGAGUAAUGUAUCGGAACGUGCCUGGUAGUGGGGGAUGACUACUCGAAAGAGUGGCUAAUACCGCAUGAGAUCUUUGGAUGAAAGCGGGGGACCUUCGGGCCUCGUGCUACUGGAGCGGCCGAUAUCAGAUUAGGUUGUUGGUGGGGUAAAGGCCUACCAAGCCUGCGAUCUGUAGCUGGUCUGAGAGGACGACCAGCCACACUGGGACUGAGACACGGCCCAGACUCCUACGGGAGGCAGCAGUGGGGAAUUUUGGACAAUGGGCGCAAGCCUGAUCCAGCAAUGCCGCGUGCAGGACGAAGGCCUUCGGGUUGUAAACUGCUUUUGUACAGAACGAAAAGUCUCUGGCUAAUAUCUAGAGAUCAUGACG
rnacentral:rRNA from 1 species